rnacentral:rRNA from 1 species
UACGUAGGAGGCAAGCGUUGUCCGGAAUUACUGGGUGUAAAGCGCGUGUAGGCGGCCAGGUAGGUCUGGUGUGAAAACUCGAGGCUUAACCUCGAGAUGUCAUCGGAAACCAUCUGGCUAGAGUCCGGAAGAGGAGAGUGGAAUUCCUGGUGUAGCGGUGAAAUGCGCAGAUAUCAGGAAGAACACCAAUGGCGAAAGCAGCUCUCUGGGACGGUACUGACGCUGAGACGCGAAAGCGUGGGGAGCGAACAGG